rnacentral:rRNA from 1 species
UACAGAGGUCUCAAGCGUUGAUCGGAUUCAUUGGGCGUAAAGGGUGCGUAGGCGGUGGGGCAAGUCAGGUGUGAAAUCCCGGAGCUCAACUCCGGAACUGCACUUGAUACUGCCUUGCUAGAGUACUGGAGAGGAGACUGGAAUUUACGGUGUAGCAGUGAAAUGCGUAGAGAUCGUAAGGAAGACCAGUGGCGAAGGCGAGUCUCUGGACAGUUACUGACGCUGAGGCACGAAGGCCAGGGGAGCAAACGGG